rnacentral:rRNA from 1 species
UACGAAGGGUGCAAACGUUGCUCGGAAUUAUUGGGCGUAAAGGGCGCGCAGGCGGCUCUGAAAGUCAGAUGUGAAAGCCCCGGGCUUAACCUGGGAACUGCAUUUGAUACUCUAGAGCUUGAGUACGGGAGAGGAGAGUGGAAUUCCCAGUGUAGAGGUGAAAUUCGUAGAUAUUGGGAAGAACACCGGUGGCGAAGGCGGCUCUCUGGACCGUAACUGACGCUGAGGCGCGAAAGCGUGGGGAGCAAACAGG